GAUGAACGCUGGCGGCGUGCCUAAUACAUGCCAGUCGAGCGAACAGACGAGGAGCUUGCUCCUCUGACGUUAGCGGCGGACGGGUGAGUAACACGUGGAUAACCUACCUAUAAGACUGGGAUAACUUAGGGAAACCGGAGCUAAUACCGGAUAAUAUAUUGAACCGCAUGGUUCAAUAGUGAAAGACGGCUUUGCUGUCACUUAUAGAUGGAUCCGCGCCGCAUUAGCUAGUUGGUAAGGUAACGGCUUACCAAGGCAACGAUGCGUAGCCGACCUGAGAGGGUGAUCGGCCACACUGGAACUGAGACACGGUCCAGACUCCUACGGGAGGCAGCAGUAGGGAAUCUUCCGCAAUGGGCGAAAGCCUGACGGAGCAACGCCGCGUGAGUGAUGAAGGUCUUCGGAUCGUAAAACUCUGUUAUUAGGGAAGAACAAAUGUGUAAGUAACUAUGCACGUCUUGACGGUACCUAAUCAGAAAGCCACGGCUAACUACGUG
rnacentral:rRNA from 1 species